rnacentral:rRNA from 1 species
AUUGAACGCUGGCGGCAUGCCUAACACAUGCAAGUCGAACGAGUGGCGGACGGGUGAGUAAUGUCUGGGAAACUGCCUGAUGGAGGGGGAUAACUACUGGAAACGGUAGCUAAUACCGCAUAACAUCAGAUGUGCCCAGAUGGGAUUAGCUAGUAGGUGGGGUAACGGCUCACCAAGGCGACGAUCCCUAGCUGGUCUGAGAGGAUGACCAGACACACUGGAACUGAGACACGGACCAGACUCCUACGGGAGGCAGCAGUGGGGAAUAUUGCACAAUGGGCGAAAGCCUGAUGCAGCCAUGCCGCGUGUAUGAAGAAGGCCUUCGGGUUGUAAAGUACUUUCAGCGGGGAGGCGGUAUCCGCAGAAGAAGCACCGGCUAACUCCGUGCCAGCCGCCGCGGUAAUUC